rnacentral:rRNA from 1 species
CCUACGGGAGGCAGCAGUGGGGGAUAUUGCACAAUGGGGGAAACCCUGAUGCAGCGACGCCGCGUGGGUGAAGAAGUAUUUCGGUAUGUAAAGCCCUAUCAGCAGGGAAGAAAGAAGACGGUACCUGACUAAGAAGCCCCGGCUAACUACGUGCCAGCAGCCGCGGUAAUACGUAGGGGGCGAGCGUUAUCCGGAUUCACUGGGUGUAAAGGGAGCGUAGACGGGCGUGCAAGCCAGGAGUGAAAGCCCGGGGCCCAACCCCGGGACUGCUCUUGGAACUGUGCGGCUGGAGUGCGGGAGGGGCAGGCGGAAUUCCUGGUGUAGCGGUGAAAUGCGUAGAUAUCAGGAGGAACACCGGCGGCGAAGGCGGCCUGCUGGACCGCGACUGACGUUGAGGCGCGAAAGCGUGGGGAGCGAACAGGAUUAGAUACCCCAGUAGUC